AGCCAGCGUGGCGUAGUGGUUUGAGCACUGGACUAGGACUCUGGAGAACAGGGUUCAAUUCCCAGCUUGGCUA